rnacentral:ncRNA from 1 species
AACGCGGCCGCUUUAGCGGCCACCAGCUCAUUCAAAGCCAUUGUCU